rnacentral:rRNA from 1 species
GGUUAAGCGACUAAGCGUACACGGUGGAUGCCUAGGCAGUCAGAGGCGAUGAAGGGCGUGCUAAUCUGCGAAAAGCGUCGGUAAGGUGAUAUGAACCGUUAUAACCGACGAUACCCGAAUGGGGAAACCCAGUGCAAUUCGUUGCACUAUUGCAUGGUGAAUACAUAGCCAUGCAAGGCGAACCGGGGGAACUGAAACAUCUAAGUACCCCGAGGAAAAGAAAUCAACCGAGAUUCCCCCAGUAGCGGCGAGCGAACGGGGAGGAGCCCAGAACCUGAAUCAGCGUAUGUGUUAGUGGAAGCGUCUGGAAAGUCGCACGGUACAGGGUGAUAGUCCCGUACACAAAAAUGCAUAUGUUGUGAGUUCGAUGAGUAGGGCGGGACACGUGACAUCCUGUCUGAAUAUGGGGGGACCAUCCUCCAAGGCUAAAUACUCCUGACUGACCGAUAGUGAACCAGUACCGUGAGGGAAAGGCGAAAAGAACCCCGGCGAGGGGAGUGAAACAGAACCUGAAACCGUGUACGUACAAGCAGUGGGAGCACCUUCGUGGUGUGACUGCGUACCUUUUGUAUAAUGGGUCAGCGACUUAUAUUUUGUAGCAAGGUUAACCGAAUAGGGGAGCCGUAGGGAAACCGAGUCUUAACUGGGCGAAUAGUUGCAAGGUAUAGACCCGAAACCCGGUGAUCUAGCCAUGGGCAGGUUGAAGGUUGGGUAACACUAACUGGAGGACCGAACC